UCUGUGAUAGCUCAGUCGGUACAGCAUAAGACUCUUAAUCUCAGGGUUGUGGGUUUGAGCCCUAUGUUGUGCAAAA
rnacentral:tRNA from 1 species